UGAAAGUCAGACAUCCACCUCCACUCUGUCCUCUGUGAUCCACAACAGGUAGACGGAGCACGUUUGAUUCCCUGCGGGCCUUCUGCUCCUCCAGCGGGGUUCCUCUUAUUCUGUGUUGGACCCUGAAACACUUCUUCAUGUCCUUGAGGAAUUAACAUGGGAGGACUGCCUCUGCUCCGAGGGAGCCCUAUUGAGGCCACGUACCGCCCACACCCCCACAUAAUCCUCCUCCGAGACACACCUCCACGGGCCGGACCAGACCAGCAGGACCGCUGUUUACAAGAUAGUCCACCUUGUGAAGACAAUGUCCUCCCAUUCUACUUCUGGACUUGGAAACCUUUGUGGAAGUCAGCCAGGGAUUGAAGGACUUGGACCAGGCACAGAAGAACAAACUGUGGCCUCCCAGAACCUGGACUCCAUGGACCAGCCGGCAUGUGGGCGAUCAGCAAUCUGCACACCUGGUCCCGAUGAAGGUGAGCGGUAUAAAGACCAGUGGACCCAAGGAUCCUGGCCGGAACUUAACCAUUAGUUACCCUAUGCUUUUCCCGAGUUCUCCUGUUGUUCCUCUCUGAAUUCUGGACUGCCUCCCUUUGAUCUCGACCUUUCGCAUGGACCUGGACCUUCUUCGCCCCGCUUAGUCCCCGACUAUCUGCCUGACCGCGGACUGCCUACCUGCUUUGUCCCUCCUCUCGCCCAACACAACACUAGGUAACACACUGUGGAGUGGGGGGCGUAAGGACCGGCCUCGAAACCAGCAGCAGGUGAGUGGAUUGCCCAGCUGGGAAUGGUUAUCUCAUCACCUGUCGCCUGUAUUAGCAGCAGCCGGACCGAGACACGUUGUAGGAGUUAGAGGUGCUGGUUAUUGCCGGAAAGAAAAAGCCAAAAAGACUGAGAAGUCACGGAGCAGAGACUGUCAUGAGGGGCUUCCAGAUGCAAAGACCGAAAAGUUGUAGCGUGGAGUGCGGUCCUAGCGUGUGCGUGCUCACAAAUAAAGACAUUGUUCCGCCAGACUACCGCAUACUUGCCAACCUUGAGACCUCUGAAUU